rnacentral:rRNA from 1 species
GAUGAACGCUGGCGGCGUGCCUAAUACAUGCAAGUCGAGCGAACAGACGAGGAGCUUGCUCCUCUGACGUUAGCGGCGGACGGGUGAGUAACACGUGGAUAACCUACCUAUAAGACUGGGAUAACUUCGGGAAACCGGAGCUAAUACCGGAUAAUAUAUUGAACCGCAUGGUUCAAUAGUGAAAGACGGUUUUGCUGUCACUUAUAGAUGGAUCCGCGCCGCAUUAGCUAGUUUGUAAGGUAACGGCUUACCAAGGCAACGAUGCGUAGCCGACCUGAGAGGGUGAUCGGCCACACUGGAACUGAGGCACGGUCCAGACUCCUACGGGAGGCAGCAGUAGGGAAUCUUCCGCAAUGGGCGAAAGCCUGACGGAGCAACGCCGCGUGAGUGAUGAAGGUCUUCGGAUCGUAAAACUCUGUUAUUAGGGAAGAACAAAUGUGUAAGUAACUAUGCACGUCUUGACGGUACCUAAUCAGAAAGCCACGGCUAACUACGUG